rnacentral:rRNA from 1 species
CUUGGUCAUUUAGAGGAAGUAAAAGUCGUAACAAGGUUUCCGUAGGUGAACCUGCGGAAGGAUCAUUAGUGAAAACACAAGUCGGUCGUCUGUGCUGGUGGCAACACAUGUGCACGGCGGCUGCAAAUCCACACACCUGUGCACCUUUGACUGUGAGGUCCGCUUGUCUUUGGCGAGCAGCUGGUUGGCAUUGUGCUUGACUGGGGUCUCACGGUAUUUUUACAUACUCUGAAUGUAAUGGAAAGUCUUUGCAUAACGCAUAUAAAAACAACUUUCAACAACGGAUCUCUUGGCUCUCGCACCGAUGAAGAACGCAGCGAAAUGCGAUAAGUAAUGUGAAUUGCAGAAUUCAGUGAAUCAUCGAAUCUUUGAACGCACCUUGCACCCUUUGGUAUUCCGAAGGGUACGCCCGUUUGAGUGUCAUUGUAAUCUCACCUCUACAACCUUGUUGUGUGAAGUGGACUUGGACAAUGUCGUGUAACAACGACUGGUCUUAAAAUUAUGAGUGUACCCUGCUGUUGCAGCGUCUUCAGUGUGAUAAUAUCUUCACUGAUCAAAGUUCCUUUGGGACACGCAAGCAUUGUGGGCCCUGCGCUUCCAAUCGUCUCUGGACAUACUUGACAAUUUGACCUCAAAUCGGGCGGGACUACCCGCUGAACUUAAGCAUAUCAAUAAGCGGAGGA